AAAUCCUUUAUUCUCGCAGUAAAGGAUGAAUUUAUUAGAUUAGAACCAGCGCAAAGUCCUAGACUUUGAGUUAUGGUGAUUCAUAAUAACUAAUCGAAUCGCAGAGACUUUUAGUCGGCGAUGAUACAUACAAAUUUCUGCCCUAUCAACUUUCGAUGGUAGUAUAGAGGACUACCAUGGUUAUAACGGGUAACGGGGAAUUAGGGUUCGAUUCCGGAGAGGGGGCCUGAGAGAUGGCCACCACUUCCAAGGAAGGCAGCAGGCGCGCAAAUUACCCAAUCCCAAUUCGGGGAGGUAGUGACAAGAAAUACCAGUACAGGGCCCUAUGGGUACUGUGAUUGGAAUGAAUACAAUUUAAAAACCUUAAUGAGGAACGAUUGGAGGGCAAGUCUGGUGCCAGCAGCCGCGGUAAUUCCAGCUCCAAUAGUGUAUAUUAAAGUUGCUGCAGUUAAAAAGCUCGUAGUUGGAUUUCGGUAAGUAAAAAUUUAACAUCCAUCUCUAAGAUGGAUGAUUUAAUUUUUAUUUCCUUCCUUUUGAAUACACUCCCUAAAAUUUAUUUUAGGGACUCAGUGUUUCAAAUCGUUUACUGUGAAGAAAUUAGAGUGUUCAAAGCAGGCGUAACCUAGCCUUUGAAUAUAUUAGCAUGGGAUAAUGAAAUAGGACUUUAGUCCUACUUUCGUUGGUUUCUAGGGCUGAAGUAAUGAUUAAUAGGGAUAGUUGGGGUCACUAGUAUUUAAUUGUCAGAGGUGAAAUUCUAAGAUUUAUUAAAGACUAACUACUGCGAAAGCAUUUGACAAGGAUGUUUUCAUUAAUCAAGAACGAAAGUUGGGGGAUCGAAGAUGAUCAGAUACCGUCGUAGUCUCAACCAUAAACUAUGCCGACCAAGGAUCCGGGGUUGUUAAUAUGGAUGACUCUCCGGGCACUUAUAGAGAAAUCAUAAGUAUUUGGGCUCCGGGGGGAGUAUGGUCGCAAGGCUGAAACUUAAAGGAAUUGACGGAAGGGCACCACAAGGAGUGGAACCUGCGGUUUAAUUUGACACAACACGGGGAAACUUACCAGGUCCAGACACAGUGAGGAUUGACAGAUUGAGAGUUCUUUCUUGAUUCUGUGAGUGGUGGUGCAUGGCCGUUUCUAGUUGGUGGAGUGAUUUGUCUGGUUAAUUCCGUUAACGAACGAGACCUUAACCUAUUAAAUAGUUGAUUGAACUUGAUUUCUAAAAUCAAAUGUUCAACUAACUUCUUAGAGGGACUCUUCACUGAGAGAGUGAAUGGAAGUUUG
rnacentral:rRNA from 1 species